rnacentral:rRNA from 1 species
CUCACUAGUCGAGUCGGCCUGCGCGGAAGAUGUAACGGGGCUCAAACCACACACCGAAGCUGCGGGUGUCACGUAAGUGACGCGGUAGAGGAGCGUUCUGUAAGCCUGUGAAGGUGAGUUGAGAAGCUUGCUGGAGGUAUCAGAAGUGCGAAUGCUGACAUGAGUAACGACAAUGGGUGUGAAAAACACCCACGCCGAAAGACCAAGGGUUCCUGCGCAACGUUAAUCGACGCAGGGUUAGUCGGUUCCUAAGGCGAGGCUGAAAAGCGUAGUCGAUGGGAAACAGGUUAAUAUUCCUGUACUUCUGGUUACUGCGAUGGAGGGACGGAGAAGGCUAGGCCAGCUUGGCGUUGGUUGUCCAAGUUUAAGGUGGUAGGCUGAAAUCUUAGGUAAAUCCGGGGUUUCAA